GACCCUAGCGGGAUGCUUUACACAUGCAAGUCGAACGGCAGCAUAAGAGAGCUUGCUCUCUUGAUGGCGAGUGGCGGACGGGUGAGUAAUGUAUCGGAACGUGCCCAGUAGUGGGGGAUAACUACGCGAAAGCGUGGCUAAUACCGCAUAUUCUCUACGGAGGAAAGGGGGGGAUCUUUUGACCUCUCGCUAUUGGAGCGGCCGAUAUCAGAUUAGCUAGUUGGUGGGGUAAUGGCCUACCAAGGCGGUGAUCUGUAGCUGGUUUGAGAGGACGACCAGCCACACUGGGACUGAGACACGGCCCAGACUCCUACGGGAGGCAGCAGUGGGGAAUUUUCGACAAUGGGGGGAACCCUGAUCGAGCCAUCUCGCGUGUGGGACGAAGGCCUUCGGGUUGUAAACCACUUUUCUCAACGAAGAAAAGUCUUAGGCUAAUACCUUAGGACGCUGACGGUAGUUGAGGAAUAAGCACCGGCUAACUACGUGCCAGCAGCCGCGGUAAUACGUAGGGUGCGAGCGUUAAUCGGAAUUACUGGGCGUAAAGGGUGCGCAGGCGGCUUGGAAAGAACGGUGUGAAAUCCCGGGGCUCAACCUCGGAACUGCACUAUUAACUGCCAAGCUAGAGUAUGUCAGAGGGGGGUGGAAUUUCCCCGUGUAGCAGUGAAAUGCGUAGAUAUGCGGAGGAACACCCAUGGCGAAAGCAGCCCCCUGGG
rnacentral:rRNA from 1 species